AUGUAUGCACUUGGUUGGGGGAAUUUGGAUAUUGUGAGGUAUCUCCUUGAUCAUGAUGCUGAUCCAGAAAAGCCUGGUGAACACGGAGCGACCGCUCUCCAUGUGGCAGCUGGAGCAGGAAUGUGUGAAAUGAUAGAAGUCUUGCUCUCAAAAGGAGCUGAUGUUAAUUCCGUUUCUUUCUGUGGGACACCAUUGCAUGCUGCUAUUGUCGGGAAGCAUGAUGCUGCUGUGAAGACCUUGUUGAAUCACCAUGCAGAUUGUAACAAGGCAAUGGCCAUACAUUAUACGCCUCUGAUCGCUGCUAUCCAUGUUCGCUCACUGAAGUGUGUGAAACUUCUGAUUAAGGCGGGUGCUGAUGUAAAGGGUGUUGGACCGCUAACCCCCUUAAUAGCCGCUGCAGAUGAUGGUUUAACUGAUUUCUACAAACCUUUACUUGCGGCUGCUGCUGAUCCUGAUGUCCGCGAUGAUGGAGGUCAACUGCCAAUUGAGAUUGCUGCACGUCACAAUAGACGGAAAGAUGUUGAGAUCCUUUUUCCAGUAACAUCUUGUAUUCCAUAUGUGCGCGAUUGGAGUGUUGAUGGGAUACUUGCGUAUGUCAAAUCAGUGCCAAAUGAGGAGGCAACCAAGCUUGAUCCUGAAGAUGUAACCUUGCAUUCAAAUAGGAGCGUUUGCUGGAUUAACUUGGGUGAAGGAGACAAGGCCUUGGAGGCAGCUGAAAUGUGCAGGAUCAUACGUCCUGAUUGGCCAAAGGCCUGUUACAGGCAAGGGGCGGCCCAAAUGUUUUUGAAGAACUAUGAAAAGGCAUGUGAUGCAUUUCAAGAUGGUCUGAAGUUGGACCCAACAAAUGUUGAGAUUGAGAACGCAUUAUGGGAGGCAUUCAACUCGCUGAAGAUAUCUCGUGCCAAAGCAGUCUCAUGA
rnacentral:rRNA from 1 species